UACGGGGGGCUGCAGUAGGGAAUAUUGCACAAUGGAGGAAACUCUGAUGCAGCGACGCCGCGUGAGUGACGGAGGCCUUCGGGUUGUAAAGCUCUGUUCUUAGGGAAAAAGAAAGUGAUUGUACCUGAGAAGAAAGGACCGGCUAACUUCGUGCCAGCAGCCGCGGUAAGACGAGGGGUCCAAGCGUUGUUCGGAAUCAUUGGGCGUAAAGCGGGUGUAGGCGGCUCUAUAAGUCAGGAGUGAAAGCCCCGAGCUUAACUUGGGAAGUGCUUUUGAUACUGCAGAGCUUGAAUGUGGGAGAGGGUAGUGGAAUUCCAGGUGUAGUGGUGAAAUACGUAGAUAUCUGGAGGAACACCGGUGGCGAAGGCGGCUACCUGGCCCAACAUUGACGCUGAGACCCGAAAGCAUGGGGAUCAAACAGGAUUAAUCUUUCUAGA
rnacentral:rRNA from 1 species